UACGUAGGGGGCAAGCGUUGUCCGGAUUUAUUGGGCGUAAAGAGCGUGUAGGCGGUUUGGUAAGUCUUGUGUGAAAUCUCCAGGCUCAACUUGGAGUCUGCACGAGAAACUGCCGGGCUUGAGUGUGGGAGAGGUGAGUGGAAUUCCUGGUGUAGCGGUGAAAUGCGUAGAUAUCAGGAGGAACACCUGUGGCGAAAGCGGCUCACUGGACCACAACUGACGCUGAUGCACGAAAGCUAGGGGAGCAAACAGG
rnacentral:rRNA from 1 species